GCGGCUGCCGCCUGCGCCGCUCGCUACAAAACGUCAUUUCCCGGUCCCACACGGGCUGCUCCGGCUGCUUCUCCUCUUCUCCCCCUUCUGGGCUCGGCCGGCUGCCUCUGCGCAUGGCCUUCACCGGCGGCUGCAAUUGCAACUGCUCUUGCUGAGAUACAUGGGCCAUACGUGUCCAUCGAAGUACCCAGGUGGAUCUGGUGGAUUAUAAACUCGGGUGCUACAGAAAAAUAUGGGAACUUUACUUGUACACCACGUUUAGCAAGAGUUUCUAUAU